UACGUAGGGGGCUAGCGUUGUCCGGAUUUAUUGGGCGUAAAGAGCGUGUAGGCGGCCAGGUAGGUCCGGUGUGAAAACUCGAGGCUUAACCUCGAGAUGUCAUCGGAAACCAUCUGGCUAGAGUCCGGAAGAGGAGAGUGGAAUUCCUGGUGUAGCGGUGAAAUGCGCAGAUAUCAGGAAGAACACCCGUGGCGAAAGCGGCUCUCUGGAACGGUACUGACGCUGAGACGCGAAAGCGUGGGGAGCGAACAGG
rnacentral:rRNA from 1 species